rnacentral:rRNA from 1 species
UUAAGCGACUAAGCGUACACGGUGGAUGCCCUGGCAGUCAGAGGCGAUGAAGGACGUGCUAAUCUGCGAUAAGCGUCGGUAAGGUGAUAUGAACCGUUAUAACCGGCGAUUUCCGAAUGGGGAAACCCAGUGUGAUUCGUCACACUAUCAUUAACUGAAUCCAUAGGUUAAUGAGGCGAACCGGGGGAACUGAAACAUCUAAGUACCCCGAGGAAAAGAAAUCAACCGAGAUUCCCCCAGUAGCGGCGAGCGAACGGGGAGCAGCCCAGAGCCUGAAUUAGUGUGUGUGUUAGUGGAAGCGUCUGGAAAGGCGCGCGAUACAGGGUGACAGCCCCGUACACAAAAAUGCACAUGCUGUGAGCUCGAUGAGUAGGGCGGGACACGUGGUAUCCUGUCUGAAUAUGGGGGGACCAUCCUCCAAGGCUAAAUACUCCUGACUGACCGAUAGUGAACCAGUACCGUGAGGGAAAGGCGAAAAGAACCCCGGCGAGGGGAGUGAAAAAGAACCUGAAACCGUGUACGUACAAGCAGUGGGAGCACGCUUAGGCGUGUGACUGCGUACCUUUUGUAUAAUGGGUCAGCGACUUAUAUUCUGUAGCAAGGUUAACCGAAUAGGGGAGCCGAAGGGAAACCGAGUCUUAACUGGGCGUUAAGUUGCAGGGUAUAGACCCGAAACCCGGUGAUCUAGCCAUGGGCAGGUUGAAGGUUGGGUAACACUAACUGGAGGACCGAACCGACUAAUGUUGAAAAAUUAGCGGAUGACUUGUGGCUGGGGGUGAAAGGCCAAUCAAACCGGGAGAUAGCUGGUUCUCCCCGAAAGCUAUUUAGGUAGCGCCUCGUGAAUUCAUCUCCGGGGGUAGAGCACUGUUUCGGCAAGGGGGUCAUCCCGACUUACCAACCCGAUGCAAACUGCGAAUACCGGAGAAUGUUAUCACGGGAGACACACGGCGGGUGCUAACGUCCGUCGUGAAGAGGGAAACAACCCAGACCGCCAGCUAAGGUCCCAAAGUCAUGGUUAAGUGGGAAACGAUGUGGGAAGGCCCAGACAGCCAGGAUGUUGGCUUAGAAGCAGCCAUCAUUUAAAGAAAGCGUAAUAGCUCACUGGUCGAGUCGGCCUGCGCGGAAGAUGUAACGGGGCUAAACCAUGCACCGAAGCUGCGGCAGCGACGCUUAUGCGUUGUUGGGUAGGGGAGCGUUCUGUAAGCCUGUGAAGGUGUACUGUGAGGUAUGCUGGAGGUAUCAGAAGUGCGAAUGCUGACAUAAGUAACGAUAAAGCGGGUGAAAAGCCCGCUCGCCGGAAGACCAAGGGUUCCUGUCCAACGUUAAUCGGGGCAGGGUGAGUCGACCCCUAAGGCGAGGCCGAAAGGCGUAGUCGAUGGGAAACAGGUUAAUAUUCCUGUACUUGGUGUUACUGCGAAGGGGGGACGGAGAAGGCUAUGUUGGCCGGGCGACGGUUGUCCCGGUUUAAGCGUGUAGGCUGGUUUUCCAGGCAAAUCCGGAAAAUCAAGGCUGAGGCGUGAUGACGAGGCACUACGGUGCUGAAGCAACAAAUGCCCUGCUUCCAGGAAAAGCCUCUAAGCAUCAGGUAACAUCAAAUCGUACCCCAAACCGACACAGGUGGUCAGGUAGAGAAUACCAAGGCGCUUGAGAGAACUCGGGUGAAGGAACUAGGCAAAAUGGUGCCGUAACUUCGGGAGAAGGCACGCUGAUAUGUAGGUGAAGUCCCUUGCGGAUGGAGCUGAAAUCAGUCGAAGAUACCAGCUGGCUGCAACUGUUUAUUAAAAACACAGCACUGUGCAAACACGAAAGUGGACGUAUACGGUGUGACGCCUGCCCGGUGCCGGAAGGUUAAUUGAUGGGGUCAGCGCAAGCGAAGCUCUUGAUCGAAGCCCCGGUAAACGGCGGCCGUAACUAUAACGGUCCUAAGGUAGCGAAAUUCCUUGUCGGGUAAGUUCCGACCUGCACGAAUGGCGUAAUGAUGGCCAGGCUGUCUCCACCCGAGACUCAGUGAAAUUGAACUCGCUGUGAAGAUGCAGUGUACCCGCGGCAAGACGGAAAGACCCCGUGAACCUUUACUAUAGCUUGACACUGAACAUUGAGCCUUGAUGUGUAGGAUAGGUGGGAGGCUUGGAAGUGUGGACGCCAGUCUGCAUGGAGCCGACCUUGAAAUACCACCCUUUAAUGUUUGAUGUUCUAACGUUGACCCGUAAUCCGGGUUGCGGACAGUGUCUGGUGGGUAGUUUGACUGGGGCGGUCUCCUCCUAAAGAGUAACGGAGGAGCACGAAGGUUGGCUAAUCCUGGUCGGACAUCAGGAGGUUAGUGCAAUGGCAUAAGCCAGCUUGACUGCGAGCGUGACGGCGCGAGCAGGUGCGAAAGCAGGUCAUAGUGAUCCGGUGGUUCUGAAUGGAAGGGCCAUCGCUCAACGGAUAAAAGGUACUCCGGGGAUAACAGGCUGAUACCGCCCAAGAGUUCAUAUCGACGGCGGUGUUUGGCACCUCGAUGUCGGCUCAUCACAUCCUGGGGCUGAAGUAGGUCCCAAGGGUAUGGCUGUUCGCCAUUUAAAGUGGUACGCGAGCUGGGUUUAGAACGUCGUGAGACAGUUCGGUCCCUAUCUGCCGUGGGCGCUGGAGAACUGAGGGGGGCUGCUCCUAGUACGAGAGGACCGGAGUGGACGCAUCACUGGUGUUCGGGUUGUCAUGCCAAUGGCACUGCCCGGUAGCUAAAUGCGGAAGAGAUAAGUGCUGAAAGCAUCUAAGCACGAAACUUGCCCCGAGAUGAGUUCUCCCUGACUCCUUGAGAGUCCUGAAGGAACGUUGAAGACGACGACGUUGAUAGGCCGGGUGUGUAAGCGCAGCGAUGCGUUGAGCUAACCGGUACUAAUGAACCGUGAGGCU